CCUACGGGUGGCUGCAGUGGGGAAUAUUGUACAAUGGGGGAAACCCUGAUGCAGCGACGCCGCGUGAGUGAAGAAGUAUCUCGGGAUGUAAAGCUCUAUCAGCAGGGAAGAAAAUGACGGUACUUGACCAAUUACCCCCGGCUAAUUCCGUGCCAGCAGCCGCGGUCAUACGUAGGGGGCAAGCGCGAUCCGGAUUUACUGGGUGUAAAGGGAGCGGAGACGGCGGUGCAAGUCCGGAGUGAAAGCCCAUGGCUUAACCAUGGAACUGCUCUGGAAACUGUGGAGCUUGAGUGCGGGAGGGGCAGGCAGAAUUCCUAGUGUAGCGGUGAAAUGCGUAGAUAUUAGGAGGAACACCGGCGGCGAAGGCGGCCUGCUGGACCGUAACUGACGUUGAGGCGCGAAAGCGUGGGGAGCAAACAGGAUUAGAUACCCGAGUAGUC
rnacentral:rRNA from 1 species